UAAGCACGUCUUUAAAGUGUUUUUUUCUUUUUUUUCUUUCUGAAUAGAGACUUCCAGUUCUGUUAUACCAAGGCUGGCAGUGACUUCAAUUAACUCUGGAUGUGACUGCAAGACCUGGGCCUGCCCAGCUCUCUGGCCCCAUGCUUCCUCUCAGGCUUUGCCAAACUGCUGCAAACAGGAAUUUGCAUCCUGGGAGUGAUUGAUACUCUGAGUGAGAUGAAGCUGACUUCCAUUCCCUACCACACAGGUAGACUACAUGGGGUGGCCCUGAGUGCUUUCUCCUGGACUCAGCAUCCCUCUCUGCCUCUCAGCUUCCUUCAGCUGUGUGUGAAAAACCCUGCUGCUGUGGCUUCAGGAUCACCAGAAAAGCAACAUUGUUUAAAGAAGGAAUGUUCAUACUUAGAAGGAGCUUUACUGAAUUUUAAUUACUAGAUCCCUAAACAAAUAAAGAUACCCUAACGCUAAAAUCA
rnacentral:lncRNA from 1 species